UCAUUCAUCAUUCACCAUUCGUCCAUUCAUACAAAGCUGUAUUUGUAAUAAAAAUGUGAAGGAAAAUCAUGUUCUAAUUAAUAUCUAAUUAAUAUUUAUCCUUUAAUCGACUAAAUAUGUAUUAAAUUGAAACCAUUGGGAUUGUGGUGAUGGUUGCGACGUGGCAACGGGAGGAGUUGGUGAAAUCGAAGCAGGUGGUGAUGUUGAAGUUGAAGAAGGUGUGAAUGUGGUUAACUCUAAAAUUCUGAAGGCUAAGAAAGGUAAGAUGCCGAUGAUUUGUUCGGAAGUUGGAGAUGCAGCUGUUGUGGCUGAAGGAUUGAAUGGUGUUGCUGUUGAUAAAUGCAGUGUGAACGAAGUAAACAUGAUGCUUCGCCUCCAUGAUGAUGUUGCCGGUGGAUUUGACACUACUCAUGCUGCAGCAAGAUAAAUUUCAUAUUUAGGCAUAUGAUCGAGCUGCAAUCAAGUUAUGUGGUGUUGAUGCGGAUAUCAAUUUCAACGUUAGCGAUUAUGAUGAUGAUAUAAAGCAGAUGAGUAACUUUAUGAAGGAAGAGUUUGUGCAUAUUCUGCGUUGACAGAGCACUGGUUUCUCAAGAGGAAGCUCCAAAUACAGGGGAGUUACUCUGCAUAAAUGUGGGCGAUAGGAAGCUCGUAUGGGACAGUUUCUUGGGAAAAAGUGAGAAAACCAAUUAGUUGAGUUUCAUUAAUAAAUAGUUUAUCCUAAAAUGUUUUAACCAUAAACCAUAAUUAAGUUCUGGUUUAAGAAUCACACUGCCCCAAACUUAGUGUAAAAUCAUUAGAAUAUUUCAUUAGAAUGACACUACUACGAUUCAAUUGAUAUUUAGUUGAUUUAUUAAUUGCUAUAAUAAAGUAUGAAAUUUAGUUA